GGUUAAAAAGCUCGUAGUUGGAUUUCUGCUUGGGAGGGCCGGUCCGCCCUCAGGGUGAGCAUCUGGUUUUUCCUGGGCAUCCUCUUGCGGAACGUUGCUGCAAUUGAGUUUGUGGUGCGGUACCCAGGACUUUUACUUUGAGGAAAUUAGAGUGUUUCAAGCAGGCAUUUGCCUUGAAUACAUUAGCAUGGAAUAAUAGGAUAGGACCUUGUUUCUACCUUGUUGGUUCGUAGAGAUGAGGUAAUGGUUAAUAGGGAUAGUCGGGGGCAUUCGUACUUAACUGUCAGAGGUGAAAUUCUUGGAUUUGUCAAAGACGAACUACUGCGAAAGCAUUUGCCAAGGAUGUUUUCAUUGAUCAAGAACGAAAGUUAGGGGAUCGAAGACGAUCAGAUACCGUCCUAGUCUUAACCAUAAACCAUGCCGACUAGGGAUUGGAGGUAGUUACUCUUAUGACUCCUUCAGCACCUUAUGAGAAAUCAAAGUCUUUGGGUUCCGGGGGGAGUAUGGUCGCAAGGCUGAAACUUAAAGAAAUUGA
rnacentral:rRNA from 1 species